CCCUUAGAUGUCCUGGGCCGCACGCGUGCUACACUGAUGCAUACAGCGAGUACUCCCAGCUCCGCGAGGCUGCUGGUAAUCAGCAAUAUGCAUCGUGAUGGGGAUAGAUCUUUGGAAUUAUAGAUCUUGAACGAGGAAUUCCUAGUAAACGCAAGUCAUCACCUUGCGUUGACUAAGUCCCUGCCCUUUGUACACACCGCCCGUCGCUCCUACCGAUUGAGUGGUCCGGUGAGGCUUUGGGAUCUGAGCGGAAAGAGCGUUUCGCUGUUUCUGCUCGGAAAACUCAGUCGAACCUUAUCAUUUAGAGGAAGGAGAAGUCGUAACA
rnacentral:rRNA from 1 species